rnacentral:lncRNA from 1 species
GUGUUUUUUGUUGUUGAUGUUUAGUUUUGUUUGUUUUUGGUUUUUUGGUUGUUUUGGUGGUGGCUGCAGCAUGCAGAAAUUCUCUGGCCAGAAAUGGAACCUAAGCUACAGCACUGACAAUCCACUAAGCCAUGAAGGAACUCCAGGAGUUUCCAAUGGGUAAGAAUUUAACAAAAAUACUCUGUUAAACGUGCACUUAUUACACCGAUUUAUUUUUCACCAUUUCUUAUAUGACUAUAUCAGUACAAAUGAAUUAUUUAGUAAAAAUGAAAUAAUUAUCUUUCAAGUGUUAAUAUGCUUGUAAGUUCUCUAGGAAGAAUGAUUUGAAGAUAAUUUGAAUCAGCUAGAUAUAAAGGCAUCUGAACAUUUUACAUUUUUCUCAGGAAAAUUCCUUUCAUUUUACAUGAUAAAUAUAGAUCUUUACUUCUUUGCAAUCAACUAAUAACAUACGGGUAGUAAUAAAAAUCUUUGGCCCUUUCUCCAAAUUUCAGGGAUGAUUUGCCAGACUAACGAAAAGAUUGAUAAGAAGUAUUAAUGUAAAAAUGAUUUGAUUUAGACUUUCAAAAUGUAGUUAAAUACCAUUCUCAGGAUUCACUAAAUUUUUACCUAUUUGAGGGAUGCUAUUCCACUGGAAGAAGUUUAGGAAUUUAUAUAAGGGUUUUUUUUUGGGGGGGGAGGUUAUUUUUUUGAGUGUCAGAUACGGAAGAAUGAAUACUAGAGAUCUGUGGAUACUAAAUAUUCUGCAAUGAGAGGGACAGUAGCUCCAAAGAAGUGUAAAAUAUCCACAAUGUGCCUCCUGAAAAAACAGUGAUUGAUCUGGUGUUAUAUAUAAUGGAGAUGGUUGAAUUCAAUAAUUAGAAAUAUAUAUAUAUAUAUUUAGAGAGAGAGAGAGAGAAAGCAGAGAGUCAGAGAGAGAGAGAGAGACAGAGGGAAACAAAAAGAGAGAGGUUGAUGCUUUUACUCAAACAAACAAACAAAAAACCUACUGAAUCUGCUCUUCUAUUAGUAAAAAGGGAAGAGAGUCCAGACAUUGUUUUAAAACAUCAAAAGAUAUUUUUAUGCAAUGUCUUUCUUGACCUAAUUUUUGCUCUUUGCACCAUUCUUUUAUCCUGUCUUAUCCUGAAAUCUUCCUGAACCACACAGCAACAAAACCCAUUUUUUCAUUACAUUCAUGCUAAGAUAGAAAUAUUAUCAUAAGUUUUUCUCAAGGGUAAUUAUAUGGGAAAAAAGUAUUCUAAUCUCUUUCUUUCUCUCUCUCUUUUUCUUUCUCUUUCUAUUGCAAUUUAAAACCAGGAAAGUUAGAACUCUGCAUAUAGAACAAUUUCUGGGACAUCCAGGACCUAGAACAGACAUGUGGGUGGUUGUUACUCAAGAAAGAGGCAUUAUUUUUGCUGUCUGUGAACAACCACACUAAAAAAAAAAAUUAAAAAAAACUUCAUUUAUGAAACAUUUUAACUAAAAUGAUAUAUGCAGGCUCUCACCAGAGAACAUGCUUUGUUUAAAAUCUAUUCCCCAUUUUACAUAUUGCUGGGCUUUGGAUAAUGAAGUAUAUUGCUUCUCAGGCAAGGAGAGAAGUACAGCAAUGUAAGACGAAAAAUGGACUGUAAUUAGUAAUACAAAAUUCACAAAGUGAAAAGGCAAAAGGUUACUAUAUUCAAGUCUUCUUUAGCAUGAUAUGAAACGUGGCCAUAAUAAUACUGUAAGCCAAAAACUCCUCACUACUGCCAGCUUGAUUAGUUGCCUAAGUGAAACUAUGGCUUUUGAAAGUGAAAAGAAGCUGGACGUGUGUGGGCAGCAUCACUCCACACCCAAUGAUGCGAUUUGGUUUGAUUAGAAGCUCUCGCUGGCAUAGAGAGCGACCCUGGUGAUGCACACAAAAUUCAGUUGAUUGGAAGCAGUUAUAACUGCACCAUGAAUGUCACAAAAAUAAUGCAAAUGAAAUUGGCUCUCAAAGAUGCUUUAUUCUCCUUAUUUGAUGCUUAAGUAUUUGUACACAUGCGUGUAGCUGCACAGAAUCACACUUCCCUGUCUUUAAGAAAAGUUAUAAGCCACUGACCAUUUGACCAUUCCGUUAUUCUCCAUGUUUUCUCAGCUGUUCUUUCCACUAUGUCCAGUUUUUCCCGUAUUAUCUGUAUUCCGCCCCAUAUAAGUUUGUCUCAAGUUUGUCCCUAUUUCUCUAUCCUACUGAUACUCCCUUGACUUCAUGAGAUCAAAUCUCUCCACUUGAACAUCCUCGAAAUAAUCCUGCCCUCAGUGUACUCAUGUGUUUACCUUUUUGCCCUUCGUUGUGUGGGCUAGGACAUCAAUCUAAGCAUGUUGCUCCUUGCAGCAGUGGCUCCUCACUGCCUUCCUGACAAAAUCCAGAUUUCUUCACGUGCCAAUCACAUAAAGCCUGGGCUCUGACCUAGUGAUCCAGACCCAGGUCUGUAGAUGAUGUUCAGCAACAUCUAAGAUUUGAUUAUUAUGGUUGGAAGGGGACUCUGCUGGCUUCUGUGGAUAAAGGCUAAGGAUGCUGCUAAACAUCCCCCAGGCACAUUCAGCCCUUGACAAAGAAUGAUCCAGCCCAAAAUGUCACGGUGAGGGGCUUGAGAAAGCCUACUUCAUGGCAAACAUGACAACGUUUAUGUUAAAAUUCUUAGCACCUCGCAGAGGGCCUGACUCUUAAAGAGUGUGUCAUAAAUUCAUUAGUUGCCUGAAGUGAAAAUGAAAGCACAUAUAGAUAGAUGGUCUUUGUACUAUAAAAUGAAAUACUAACCUAAGGUUUAAAAAUGAGUUUUAUAAUUUGCUCCCUCCUCUGUUCCCAAGGACACGACAUCCCCUUGGCUUGGAUCCCCUGCCCGGCUUCUCACAUUUCUAAUAUUCUGCCAAAUACCUUUGGUUCUAUGUCUCAGAUAUGCCCAUUCCUCUCUGUCUCUACUGCCAUCAUCCUCCUUCAGGUCAUAGGCAUUUCGCAUUCUAAAUAAUCUAAGUAUGUUUUUCUGCUUAUAUACCCCUUCUGUCCAUUUGUAUAUAGAAGCCGGUGAUCAUCUUAAAAACAGUAAUCAGAUACUCCUCUGAUUAACACGGGGCAGUUUUUUCCUGUUUCACUGAAGAUUAGCAAUAAAGCCCUAAUUAGAUAUUUAAGAUUCCAUGUAUUCUUGUUUCUCCUUAUUUCUGACUUAUCCAAUGCGGCCGCCUCGAUAUUCGUCUUUCCAAAUUCUUGAGAUUUUGUCAACAAGAAUGUGGAGUUUCUCAGACUACUCAGGCACCUCCAAAAUCAUCCAUAAUUAUCUAGUAUUCCUCAUAUCCCCAAUGAUGAUUAUGAAAAUGCAAAAUGUUUCCUUAAUAAAGGAAGUUCAAUAGUAUUUACAAAGAACUGUAUGGUAAAUAUUCAAACACAGGAAAACUCCAGCAAGCAGACCUAAAAGGCAUUUGAAUAACAUCAUUCAGAUCCCCUAGCAAGGUGAACAACACACAGAAUCACCUGCAAGAUUGGCAAAUUAGGGAUGUAUUUUGCUUCCACACCUCGAUGUUUCUGGAAACCCUUAAAGGAUUGGUCUACAGUACACAUGUUAACUUCUUGAUAUGUAUUCUACUCACAGGAACAACUCAGCUUUAGCCACAAACACAGCCACAGACACACAGACCAGUGCGGCAAUAAUUUCAGCCAAGACCGACGGUUUGUUACGCACACUUCUCUUCCUCCUCCUGUCCUGGUUCCCACGUAACUUUCUACUCUGUGUGAUGGCAUUUUCCUGAGUCUUUCCUGCUCUUCAGAUUUCCCAACUGAUUGGUCUCAGGACCGGGAUUUAGAGAAAUAUUGACACCUUCCAAGAAAUUCCAGGAAGGAAUUCCCAUUUUUGGAAAGCUAAGCCACACCGUUAUUCCUUCUAUACUCACUCAAUAAAGAUGCAGUUUACUCUAGGAACUGCACCGAGCCAGGUUCCCUUAAGGUGUGGGAAGGAGGAGGAUGUGAAGUCAGCAAGGUUAACAGCGACUGUACAGAAUGACACAGUGACAAAUGCUCUCACGGAGGAAAAGAAAGAGGCUUUGGGAAUAAUCAGCACCACCUCCAGGAGUAUUUAUAGAGACUCUGCCACAAUUCUUUUUCACUCUCCCCCCGCUUUGGUCCAGAAUCAUAAUUUACCUCAAGGACCAAGUUUUUAUUUUAUAUCCAUAUGGUUAGUACUGAUAAUUAAGAUAACUAUAAGUUUUCCAGAACAAUGAAUUAGUGGCAAACACAGAGCCAAGAGUUUCCAUCUGACCUCGUUGUGUCAGCUAUUUAACCCAGAUUUUUAUUCAACUGAUGUCUGGGUUUAAAAAAGUUUUGUUUCGGAGUUCUGCUGUGUGCGAUGGGUUAAGAACCUGACUACAGCAGCUAGGGUCACUGUGGAGGUGCAGGUUUGAUCCUGGACCCAAUACAGUGGUUUAAAAGGAUCGGGCAUUGCUACAGCUGUGGUUUGGAUUCAGUCCCUGGCCCAGGAAUGUCCAUGUGCAGCCAUUAAAAAAAAAUGUAUUUUUUAGAUAAAUUAGAUUUUAAACACAACAUCCAGAGGAAUUUAUAGCAUUAUUUCACAAACAUUUCACUUCUGCAUUCUGUUUAAUAGAGAAUUUGGGGUCUUUUGGGUUUAAAAUGUCCACAGUUGGGAGGCUGAAUUUAUGGCCGUGGCAUACUCGAGAAUCUGCAUUCAGGCUGAAUCUAUGGCCAUGGCAUACUCCUGAAUCUGCAUUCAGUGUAGCUUCCUAGAGAACAUUAAAAUACAAGAGCUCUGUGCUUAGUAAAGCCUUUAACCCUCUCCCCAAAGAGGUCUAGCCUAGCCUUUAUCCUUAGUUCCUGGAAGGUUACUCUCAGCCUUGGGCUAGGCAGGUAUUUACAGCAUGACUUAGAGUAAAGACUGGCCACAGUAAGAAAAAGAUGAACACUGCACUUUGGGGUAGAAGCCUCUGGUCCUGCAGUAUCGGUAGGCAUGGAGCCUGAGAACCAUGUGGGUGAGCAAUCAGUCACGGCUACAAAACGGGGCACCAAUAAAAACGCUGAACACGAUGCUCCUGUGAGCUUGGCGAUACCGCCUGAGUACGAUCACGUGCUGAAGCCAGGAAUGUGGCACGAGCCACCUCCUGCGGGGGAAGACAAGGGGAGCUCCAGGUGUGGCACUGUCCCAGACUCCAUUCUAUGCAGUUCUUCCUUGCCUGAUUUAAUCUUAAUUUGGGGCCCUUUAAUUGAGCAUCCCUGAGUUGUCUGAAUUCGUCUAGCAAAUCGGUAAACCUUGACCGUCGUUUUCAGAACCGCCUGGGAUUGAAACUGGUGUCAGAAAUGAGAGCAGUCUCUGGAGGACUCUGCUCCCUCUGACUGUGUCGCUGGCUCAACUCUUCACACCUCCUGCCCUGAGUGCUUGGAUGGUAGGCUAAUCCAGUUGGGUUAAGAUCAGUAACGCCUUCAUCACAGAGGAAGGAAGGCUAACUUCAGGUUAUGAAACGUUGCAUUUAAAAACAUGGUAGCCCGGUUUUCAAGCUGUCUAUCCUUUCCACAGUGGAGAGGCCAACUCUAUACUACAUUUGCGUGAUCUCACUGUUCAAACUCUUUUCAAAGGAGGCUUGCUUUGGUGACACAAAUGAAAUAAUCAGUGAUACUUAUUCAACCCCUCUAAAGUGCUGUCCUUCAAAGUUCUGUGUUGCCCUCCAAUUAAACCACUAAUUAAGACAAUUAUGUAUUUAUUGUCCAAAUCAGAAUGCUUUGGAUAUUGAAGAGGAAUGCUAUUAAGAAUUUAUAUCAGUAAAACAAGCUUAAAGCAGGACAAUCCCAGCAAACAGUGAUAUAUGGUCAUCACUGUACUUCUAUCUUGCUCUGGAAGCAUAUUUGCCCGAGAAACUAUAUUUAGACAAAAUGGAAACAAACAAACAAAAAAAAACAAGGCAGAGGGACUCAUAAGUCUUAUAAGGCAUAUCUAACAUGGAAUUUAUAUUUUUAAGAUGAGUUACAUGUGAACUCUGUCAUCAACUUUCACUGGUUUUAGAUAAUGCAUAUAGCUUUUGAAAAAUAUGAAUUUCUCAAAGAAUUCUGUUUUUCAUGAGUAAAGAAAUAUAUUACCCAUGUGACAAUCUUAAAUGGGGAAAAAUCAAAAGGCAAUGACACUAAUUUUUUUCCAAUCUCCAUCACUGCCUUGGUUGGCAACAUGUGAGUUGGGUUUCCAUAUAUUCCCAGCUGUGUUUUUCCUGGUUUCAAAAACAACCAGGCAGUGUGUUAAGAACUGCAGUUAUCAAGAAAAAUAAUCUAUGGUUUACUCAGGGAAUUUGCAAGCCAGAGAAAGAGACAGGGAAAUAAACAAAUCAUUACAAUUUAAUAUGGCAAAUGUUAUGUUAUGUCUCUACACCAUAUUAAAGGAGUGUAAAGAAAGGCAUAAGCAACCCUGGUCAUGCAGUCAGGGAACGAGACACCAAAGAUUUGACUGAAAUGCAUCUGUUUUUAUAGGUGGAAAGAGAGGAAGACUCUCCCAAAGAAAGGGAAACUAUGCGAAAAUCUUUUAAGUGUGGGGAAGAAAAACCUUGCUCAGAGACUAAUGAGUAGCUACUUUCAACCAAAGCAUAGAUGCUUGGUGCAGGCUGAGGGACAGGGAGGAAAUGAAGGAAGAGGCUGAGGUCAGCUUAUGGGAGGCUGAGGCUUAGAGAGGCCAUCAAAGAAAGACACGGCAGUCAGGGGAUGACAUUAACUGGGCAGUCUGCUAAUGAAAUAACUAUGACAUUAUUGCAAAAGACUUGAUACACUGGAGGUCAAGGCAUCACUAGCGCAUGCCAUAUGGGCAAAAUGGGAUGGAUUCAUAAGGGAGGCAAAGAGGUGCAGGUUCGAUCCCCAGCCCAGCACGUUGGGUUAAAAGGGUCUGGCCUUGCUGCAGCUGUGGCAUAGGUCGCAGCUGUGGCUCAGAUUCAAUCCCUGGCCUGGGAACU